rnacentral:lncRNA from 1 species
AGGGAGCUGAAGCCGGGCCCUGGGAAACGGACUCCAGAUCCUUUGUGCUCUGCCCAGGACGAGGCCAGAGGUGACACAUGCACCUUCUCGGCUCCAUCCUAGGUCCUGUACCUCUGGGAUACAGAUCCACCCCAUCUACAUUUAUAUCUAUAACAACCAUCCCUGCUCUUCCCCCUUUAGCCCUUCCAUAGUCUGACCUUUCUGAAGACCAGAAGCAAAGCAAGAGGUGGACAGAGGGCUGUGUUCUGGAAUGUUCUCCAGUUUCGUCUGCCUCCACCGGCCUUGCAGCCUCACAGUGAGGUCUGCCAGCUUGUGCCGUGCCGAGACUUCUGUAACCAGGCCUUUUGGUUUAUUUUAUGGAGAACAUUGAGCGACAAGGAGGGAGCCCAUUUAGCCUGGUCAGUACCAGUCUAGGUUGUGCCAACUAUCCUCAGGCCUCCUCAGAAGGAAGAAACCACAGUAAAUUGGAGGCGCAGCACCAGGCUGGUGAACCAGGGGCUGUGUGUAUGUGGGCCAAGGGCUGCAAACCACAUCUGCCAAUCAAGGCGCGGCUGGUGAGGAAUCAGGAAAGGGGGUGGUCGGCUCACAUUCCCAGGUUUGUACAUGAAUUCAAUCUCCUGACAGACGGACAUAUGGUUAGCUGGGGUGGCUGGACUUGGUCCCUUUACCUCCCACAUCCUCUGGGAGGGCUCACUGUCCAAUGGUGUCCAUCAUGGCUGCCCUCUAGCACCACUUCAGGUCGCCCCCCCAGGCCAGUCAUCCGACGGAAAAGGCCGUAAGAGUUGGCCAGCUGCAGGUGCUCCACAGAACUGAACAGGCGAUGAGCCCCAGUCCAGAGACGACCGUGGGUCCCAGGCUCCACAUAGGAGUAAGGCACCUGCAGGCAAACAGACAAUAGCUCAUUGCUGCCCCAUCUUCCCCCCACCCCGGUCUUCACAGGGUUACCUACCAGGCUGAUCAGGAACAAGAACACUGUAGCAGUGCCCAGGACUGAGAGCUGGAUACCCGCAAAGAACUUCCGUGACCAUCCUUGUACCUGGA